UUUAAAGUUAAGAGUACGUAUGAAUUGUUAGAAAAUAAAUAAUUAAUAUUGUACAGGACCCGCCGACAAGAGACUGAAGAAAGACAAUCGAUCAAAGACGUGAGGACAGUAAAUCGGUCAUCUGAACGAAAGUAUUAGUUGGCCUGGUAGGCACAUUGAAGGGCAUUAAUGGGUAAUUAAUGUCGACAACCCAUCGGAGUGAAUUGCGUUCUCGGAGAGGAUUGAAC
rnacentral:sRNA from 1 species